GUCCUGAGUUCAAUUCCUGGCGACGCGUUGUGUCCUUGAGCAAGACACUUUAUUUCACGUCGUUCUAGUCCACUGAGCUUGCAAAAACGAGUUGUACUUGUAUUUCAAAGAGACAGCCGUGUUAUAUUCUGUGUCAAGCUGAGUCUCCCUGAAAGUACGUUAAGGGUACGCGUGUUUGUGGAG